rnacentral:rRNA from 1 species
GUGCCAGCCGCCGCGGUAAUACCGGCAGCCCGAGUGAUGGCCACUCUUAUUGGGCCUAAAGCGUCCGUAGCCGGCCUCGCAAGUCCGUCGGGAAAUCCAGUAGCUCAACUACUGGGCGUCCGGCGGAAACUACAAGGCUUGGGACCGGAAGGCUCGAGGGGUACGUCCGGGGUAGGAGUGAAAUCCUGUAAUCCUGGACGGACCACCGGUGGCGAAAGCGCCUUCGGAAGACGGAUCCGACAGUGAGGGACGAAAGCUAGGGUCUCGAACCGGAUUAGAAACCCCAGUAGUCC